GUCGAUAUGGCUCAGUUGGUAGAGCGCACCCUUGGUAAGGGUGAGGUCCCCAGUUCGACUCUGGGUAUCAGCACCA
rnacentral:tRNA from 1 species